GAGUUUGAUCAUGGCUCAGAGUGAACGCUGGCGGCAGGCCUAACACAUGCAAGUCGAACGGCAGCACAGCAGUAGCAAUACUGUGGGUGGCGAGUGGCGGACGGGUGAGGAAUACAUCGGAAUCUACCUUGUCGUGGGGGAUAACGUAGGGAAACUUACGCUAAUACCGCAUACGCACCACGGUGGAAAGCGGCGGACCGCAAGGCGUCGCGCGAUUGGAUGAGCCGAUGUCCGAUUAGCUAGUUGGCGGGGUAAAGGCCCACCAAGGCGACGAUCGGUAGCUGGUCUGAGAGGAUGAUCAGCCACACUGGAACUGAGACACGGUCCAGACUCCUACGGGAGGCAGCAGUGGGGAAUAUUGGACAAUGGGCGCAAGCCUGAUCCAGCCAUGCCGCGUGUGUGAAGAAGGCC
rnacentral:rRNA from 1 species